GUUUUAGUAAUUUAACAAAAAUAUUGGUCUUGUAAGUCAAAAAUAAGCUAGCCUUCUAAAACU
rnacentral:tRNA from 1 species